GGACUGUAGCUGAAUGGUAGAGCAUUUGCUUUGCAUGCAGAAGGUCACAGGUUCGAUUCCUGGCGUCUCCA